rnacentral:rRNA from 1 species
UACGUAGGGUGCAAGCGUUGUCCGGAAUUAUUGGGCGUAAAGAGCUCGUAGGCGGUUUGUCGCGUCUGCUGUGAAAAUCCAGGGCUUAACCCUGGACCUGCAGUGGGUACGGGCAGACUGGAGUGCGGUAGGGGAGAUCGGAAUUCCUGGUGUAGCGGUGAAAUGCGCAGAUAUCAGGAGGAACACCGGUGGCGAAGGCGGAUCUCUGGGCCGUAACUGACGCUGAGGAGCGAAAGCAUGGGAGCGAACAGG